UUAAGCGACUAAGCGUACACGGUGGAUGCCCUGGCAGUCAGAGGCGAUGAAGGACGUGCUAAUCUGCGAUAAGCGUCGGUAAGGUGAUAUGAACCGUUAUAACCGGCGAUUUCCGAAUGGGGAAACCCAGUGUGUUUCGACACACUAUCAUUAACUGAAUCCAUAGGUUAAUGAGGCGAACCGGGGGAACUGAAACAUCUAAGUACCCCGAGGAAAAGAAAUCAACCGAGAUUCCCCCAGUAGCGGCGAGCGAACGGGGAGGAGCCCAGAGCCUGAAUCAGUGUGUGUGUUAGUGGAAGCGUCUGGAAAGGCGCGCGAUACAGGGUGACAGCCCCGUACACAAAAAUGCACAUAUUGUGAGCUCGAUGAGUAGGGCGGGACACGUGGUAUCCUGUCUGAAUAUGGGGGGACCAUCCUCCAAGGCUAAAUACUCCUGACUGACCGAUAGUGAACCAGUACCGUGAGGGAAAGGCGAAAAGAACCCCGGCGAGGGGAGUGAAAAAGAACCUGAAACCGUGUACGUACAAGCAGUGGGAGCCUCUUUAUGGGGUGACUGCGUACCUUUUGUAUAAUGGGUCAGCGACUUAUAUUCUGUAGCAAGGUUAACCGAAUAGGGGAGCCGAAGGGAAACCGAGUCUUAACUGGGCGUUAAGUUGCAGGGUAUAGACCCGAAACCCGGUGAUCUAGCCAUGGGCAGGUUGAAGGUUGGGUAACACUAACUGGAGGACCGAACCGACUAAUGUUGAAAAAUUAGCGGAUGACUUGUGGCUGGGGGUGAAAGGCCAAUCAAACCGGGAGAUAGCUGGUUCUCCCCGAAAGCUAUUUAGGUAGCGCCUCGUGAAUUCAUCUCCGGGGGUAGAGCACUGUUUCGGCAAGGGGGUCAUCCCGACUUACCAACCCGAUGCAAACUGCGAAUACCGGAGAAUGUUAUCACGGGAGACACACGGCGGGUGCUAACGUCCGUCGUGAAGAGGGAAACAACCCAGACCGCCAGCUAAGGUCCCAAAGUCAUGGUUAAGUGGGAAACGAUGUGGGAAGGCCCAGACAGCCAGGAUGUUGGCUUAGAAGCAGCCAUCAUUUAAAGAAAGCGUAAUAGCUCACUGGUCGAGUCGGCCUGCGCGGAAGAUGUAACGGGGCUAAACCAUGCACCGAAGCUGCGGCAGCGACACUGUGUGUUGUUGGGUAGGGGAGCGUUCUGUAAGCCUGCGAAGGUGUGCUGUGAGGCAUGCUGGAGGUAUCAGAAGUGCGAAUGCUGACAUAAGUAACGAUAAAGCGGGUGAAAAGCCCGCUCGCCGGAAGACCAAGGGUUCCUGUCCAACGUUAAUCGGGGCAGGGUGAGUCGACCCCUAAGGCGAGGCCGAAAGGCGUAGUCGAUGGGAAACAGGUUAAUAUUCCUGUACUUGGUGUUACUGCGAAGGGGGGACGGAGAAGGCUAUGUUGGCCGGGCGACGGUUGUCCCGGUUUAAGCGUGUAGGCUGGUUUUCCAGGCAAAUCCGGAAAAUCAAGGCUGAGGCGUGAUGACGAGGCACUACGGUGCUGAAGCAACAAAUGCCCUGCUUCCAGGAAAAGCCUCUAAGCAUCAGGUAACAUCAAAUCGUACCCCAAACCGACACAGGUGGUCAGGUAGAGAAUACCAAGGCGCUUGAGAGAACUCGGGUGAAGGAACUAGGCAAAAUGGUGCCGUAACUUCGGGAGAAGGCACGCUGAUAUGUAGGUGAAGCGACUUGCUCGUGGAGCUGAAAUCAGUCGAAGAUACCAGCUGGCUGCAACUGUUUAUUAAAACACAGCACUGUGCAAACACGAAAGUGGACGUAUACGGUGUGACGCCUGCCCGGUGCCGGAAGGUUAAUUGAUGGGGUCAGCGCAAGCGAAGCUCUUGAUCGAAGCCCCGGUAAACGGCGGCCGUAACUAUAACGGUCCUAAGGUAGCGAAAUUCCUUGUCGGGUAAGUUCCGACCUGCACGAAUGGCGUAAUGAUGGCCAGGCUGUCUCCACCCGAGACUCAGUGAAAUUGAACUCGCUGUGAAGAUGCAGUGUACCCGCGGCAAGACGGAAAGACCCCGUGAACCUUUACUAUAGCUUGACACUGAACAUUGAGCCUUGAUGUGUAGGAUAGGUGGGAGGCUUGGAAGUGUGGACGCCAGUCUGCAUGGAGCCGACCUUGAAAUACCACCCUUUAAUGUUUGAUGUUCUAACGUUGACCCGUAAUCCGGGUUGCGGACAGUGUCUGGUGGGUAGUUUGACUGGGGCGGUCUCCUCCUAAAGAGUAACGGAGGAGCACGAAGGUUGGCUAAUCCUGGUCGGACAUCAGGAGGUUAGUGCAAUGGCAUAAGCCAGCUUGACUGCGAGCGUGACGGCGCGAGCAGGUGCGAAAGCAGGUCAUAGUGAUCCGGUGGUUCUGAAUGGAAGGGCCAUCGCUCAACGGAUAAAAGGUACUCCGGGGAUAACAGGCUGAUACCGCCCAAGAGUUCAUAUCGACGGCGGUGUUUGGCACCUCGAUGUCGGCUCAUCACAUCCUGGGGCUGAAGUAGGUCCCAAGGGUAUGGCUGUUCGCCAUUUAAAGUGGUACGCGAGCUGGGUUUAGAACGUCGUGAGACAGUUCGGUCCCUAUCUGCCGUGGGCGCUGGAGAACUGAGGGGGGCUGCUCCUAGUACGAGAGGACCGGAGUGGACGCAUCACUGGUGUUCGGGUUGUCAUGCCAAUGGCACUGCCCGGUAGCUAAAUGCGGAAGAGAUAAGUGCUGAAAGCAUCUAAGCACGAAACUUGCCCCGAGAUGAGUUCUCCCUGACCCUUUAAGGGUCCUGAAGGAACGUUGAAGACGACGACGUUGAUAGGCCGGGUGUGUAAGCGCAGCGAUGCGUUGAGCUAACCGGUACUAAUGAACCGUGAGGCUUAACCU
rnacentral:rRNA from 1 species